UUUUUCCCCUCUGUAAACUCAGCACUCAAACGUUCAGGUUUCAGUCCAGCUGGCAGCACUGCUGGCAUAUGAACAAAUCUCAGUCCUCCUGAUGUGUCUGGAGUUACCUGAAGGAAGAAAGUGUUGCUGUCUGAACAGGGGACGCAUACUGCAUGGCCAUCUGCACCAGCUGGAGCAGGUCUCUGUGAGCCAGCAUCAGCCCCGGGGAAACGUAGGAACACCACCACUAACUGUGACAGGAAGGUUUGAUGAUGAAGACUGGCACUCCAAGCACACUGCAAAUAGAUGCUGACUAGCCCAGUCAAAUUUGCAGGGGACUUACCCCUGUGGUGUGGCGGUUGUGGCUCCAGUAUCAGCUGCCACCUCUGGAGUGUUUUGCUUCAUGUGGAAGAUCAGUAGCAUUAAAUUCAAACAUCUCUAUGGGAAGUGGAAAACUAAGAGUCAGCAAAACGUCUGAUCUUUUCUGAAGGCAACAUUGUAGUCUACUUUCUUCAGAGCCAGUGAUAAUAGCAAAAGAGCAGCAGGCAAAUCUUGAAGAAAGAAAGUCAGAGGUGGAAAGACAGCUGUGGAAGGAAGUAUGUACCAAAAGAAAAGAGAACACUGGAGACAUCUUACUCUGUAAUUAUUUUUUGCUUUCUAGUAUAUACCUAUUUUAGAUAUGUCUUUAAUUAAAAAGAAAUCAUGAG